rfam:Gossypium arboreum cultivar AKA8401 contig_43843_3, whole genome shotgun sequence.
AAUCCAUGGCGAGGGCACAUUCUCAAUAAAUCCUUGUAUCUCUUCCAUGCAUCAUAUAGUGUUUCUAAAUUCAUCCGUACAAAAGAAGAGUUAUCAUUCCUCAAUUU